rnacentral:misc_RNA from 1 species
AUAGUCCUUCUCCAGGUGAUACUCAAUAGUUAAAACAUCUUCUCAAGCGAAGACACAUUUCUUGAGCUAUAGAAUCAAGAUAUUUGACCUUUUGUUACAACUAUCUAAAGGGGUUUAUCCUGGUCCUAUCUUCUGGACAUAUAGCAGUUUCAUUCGUCACUCCUCCAAUGCUGCUGUGUUCCCAUUUGUGAUCUUACUUUUCCCUUUCUUCUUAGCAUGUUUUUUCGCUUGUCUCCUUUUAGCUUCAGAUUUGGCAAAGAAAUCUCUCCAUUCAUCUGUAAGGACAAAA